rnacentral:rRNA from 1 species
UGCGUCCUACGGGGGGCAGCAGUGGGGAAUAUUGCGCAAUGGGCGACAGCCUGACGCAGCGACGCCGCGUGAGGGAUGAGGGUCUUCGGAUCGUAAACCUCUGUCAGCAGGGAAGAACGGUCACUGUGCUAAUCAGCAGUGAAUUGACGGUACCUGCAAAGGAAGCACCGGCUAACUCCGUGCCAGCAGCCGCGGUAAUACGGAGGGUGCGAGCGUUAAUCGGAAUUACUGGGCGUAAAGCGCUCGUAGGCGGUAUGUCAAGUCACGGGUGAAAUCCCCGCGCUCAACGUGCGAACUGCCUGUGA